rnacentral:pre_miRNA from 1 species
AACAUUCAUUGCUGUCGGUGGGUUUCCAUGGCAAUAGCUCGCUGACCAAUGAAUGAAGA